rnacentral:rRNA from 1 species
UGGGGAAUUUUCCGCAAUGGGCGAAAGCCUGACGGAGCAAUACCGCGUGAGGGAGGAAGGCUCUUGGGUUGUAAACCUCUUUUCUCAGGGAAGAAGCUCUGACGGUACCUGAGGAAUAAGCAUCGGCUAACUCCGUGCCAGCAGCCGCGGUAAUACGGAGGAUGCAAGCGUUAUCCGGAAUUAUUGGGCGUAAAGCGUCCGCAGGUGGUUUUUCAAGUCUGCUGUCAAAGACUGGAGCUUAACUCCGGAAAGGCGGUGGAAACUGGGAAACUAGAGUCCGGUAGGGGUAGCGGGAAUUCCCAGUGUAGCGGUGAAAUGCGUAGAGAUUGGGAAGAACAUCGGUGGCGAAAGCGCGCUACUGGGCCGGAACUGACACUCAGGGACGAAAGCUAGGGGAGCGAAAGGGAUUAGAUACCCCCGUAGUCC